NNNNNNNNNNNNNNNNNNNNNNNNNNNNNNNNNNNNNNGGGGGGGACACAGGAGGGUGGCGCCGGCAGCGAAGGGGUGAGGGUGGCGGUGCCAGCGCUGGCACCGGGCGGUGACAGAUGGCGGAGGGACGAGGCCGCAGCCGGAAUGACAGAUGAGGCUGCCACCGUCACCGUCACUGUCACCGGCACCGGGGAUGGCACCGUCACCCUCACCGGGGAUGGCACCAUCACCGGGGAUGGCACCGUCACCCUCACCGGGGCUGGCACUGCCACGACACGGUCACCGGAGCUCACGUUGUCAUUGUCAUGGCACAACCGCCGGCGCUGUCACCGCCACUGGCACUGAUAUUGUCAUUGUCAUGGCACCGGGGCUGGCACUGUCACCGUCACCACCACGGCACUGCCACUGUCACUGGGACUGGCACUGCCACGACACAGUCACCGGAGCUCACAUUGUCAUGGCACCGUCACCGGGACUGCCACCAUCACCGUCACCCACACCGCCACGGCGCUGCCACUGUCACUGUCACCGGGGCUGGCACUGCCAUUGUCAUUGUCAUGGCACCAUCACCCACACCGCCAUGGUACUGCCGCUGUCACCGUCACCGGGGCUGGCAGUGCCACGACGCAGUCACCAGAGCUCACAUUGUCAUGGCGUUGUCACCGGCACUGUCACAACCACCAGCACUGUCACUGUCACUGGCACUGCCAUUGUCAUUGUCAUGGCACCGUCCCAGCACUGUCACUGUCACCGGGGCUGGCACUGCCACGACACGGUCACCGGAGCUCACAUUGUCAUGGCGUUGUCACCAGCACUGUCACAACCACCAGCGCUGUCACCGUCACCGGGGCUGGCACUGCCAUUGUCAUUGUCAUGGCACCAUCACCGGCACCGUCACCGUCACCCACACCGCCACGGCGCCGCCGCUGUCACUGUCACCGGGGCUGGCACUGCCACGACACGGUCACCAGAGCUCACAUUGUCAUGGCGUUGUCACCAGCACUGUCACAACCGCCGGUGUUGUCACCGUCACCGCCACUGUCACUGUCACCGGGGCUGGCACUGCCACCACACGCUCACCGGCGCUGACAAUGUCAUGGUGUUGUCACCAGCCCUGCCACUCUCACUGUCACUGUCACUGUCACUGUCACAACAGGGUCACGGCGGUGGUGACCGCCCCGAGCUGCCCCUCUCCCUGCUGCCACCACCGGCACCGCCACCCCCGCUGUCAC
rnacentral:lncRNA from 1 species